rnacentral:rRNA from 1 species
UCCAGACUCCUACGGGAGGCAGCAGUGGGGAAUAUUGCACAAUGGGGGAAACCCUGAUGCAGCAACGCCGCGUGAGUGAAGAAGCGUUUCGGCGCGUAAAGCUCUGUCAGCGGGGAAGAAAGAAGACGGUACCCGACCAAGAAGCCCCGGCUAACUACGUGCCAGCAGCCGCGGUAAUACGUAGGGGGCGAGCGUUAUCCGGAUUUACUGGGUGUAAAGGGAGCGUAGGCGGCAGGGCAAGCCUGAUGUGAAAGCCCGGGGCUCAACCCCGGGACUGCAUUGGGAACUGCCCCGCUCGAGUGCCGGAGGGGCAGGCGGAAUUCCUGGUGUAGCGGUGAAAUGCGUAGAUAUCAGGAGGAACACCGGCGGCGAAGGCGGCCUGCUGGACCGUGACUGACGUUGAGGCUCGAGAGCGUGGGGAGCAAACAGGAUUAGAUACCCCAGUAA